UGAACAGGCCGUUCUAUCGCCAUCCGUUACGGAGGGAGGAAAGUCCGGGCAACACAGAGCAUCCUGCUUCCUAACGGGAAGGGCGCAAACUAACGUUUGUGUACGGAAAGUGCCACAGAAAACAAACUACCUUUACAAUAAAAAUUGCAAGGGAAAAGGUGAAAACGCGAGGUAAGAGCUCACGGCUUUGUAUGGCGACAUGCAUUGCGGUAAACCCCAGGAGUUGAAAGACCAAAUAAGCUGGUGACAAGGGGCUGCUCGUCCCUGUUCUUCCGCAAGGUUGAUGCAUCAGCGGGUAGGUCGUUAGAUCCUGUCAGCAAUGGCAGGGCCAGAUAAAUGAUAGAAGCUCAUGUAACUCAUGAGAACAGAACCCGGCUUACAGGCCUGUAUUUUUA
rnacentral:RNase_P_RNA from 1 species